ACACUACCUCAUUUUAGAGCUGGCAUUGUUAGCUUGGCUAGCGUCUCUUUAUUGAAAGUGAUUGAAUUGGAAUCCUACGGAUAAUUAAAAAUUCUAAAAAAAUGAAUAACAUUAUUAGACAAGAAAGAAGAUAAAAAGGAGUAGGAAAGCUAAGACUUUUGCUGCUUGCAAGGUUUUUGGCACAUUUUCAGAGGUGAGAGAGAAGGCAUAAGCAAUGAAGUUCUUGUUCCAGUGUCCUUGCUGCUCAUGUUUCUGCUUCAUGAAGCCCAAGCAGGGAAAACCAAAGGCAAAAGAAGCCAAGGUGGAGGGUUCCAAGGAAGAAAAAAAGGAAUGAUACUAUGCUUAAGUAAAUUGUAUGUAACAUUUUUCUUUCUAGUCAAUAUGAAAUGCUUUCACCUUUAAUUGCAAUGUAUGGAAAUCCAAAUUUGGCAAAUUCUAUGUGAUAUCAUGUCUAUUUUCUGCUUGUUUUGCUUGGUUGCAUUGCAUAUCAGUUUGUCUUAUGACAGUAUUGGAAAAUGUCCAUCUACACGUUUCCAUAAAAGGAGUCUUUAUGGUUGGAAGCAUUCUACAGCAUUUGGUUUAGCAAGAGGUAAACUUAAAAUCUAUUAAACUCCUUUCUAUGUGCUUCUGAUUUAGUAUUUAGUUGCUUAGCCUGACUUGAUUCAGAGGCUAAAAUCAUAUUACUCACUUAAUAGACUUAGGUUCGAAUCCCCCAUCCCCUGAUUUCACUACUAAAAAAGAAUAAGUAUUUAGCCUAGAUAUUCUGAUUUCCUCAAAUUUCCCCACAAUGUUCCUAAUCUGGUUAGCUGCAAAAUCUAUGAUACAUAAGCAACUCCAUGCUUGCUGCCUAACCAUAUGCCAGCUGGAGAUGGAGUUAGAUGCUUGUUCGAGCUCAAAAUUCAAAUUCUUUGGAUUUUGUGGGAGCAGAGAAAAACAAGUUCUUAAAGUGAAAUAAAAACGCAUUAAUUAUGUUUAGUAAGAUGUUUAUUACGAUGAUGCUUAAUCUCAAUCAUAAAAGAUACGCUAACGUGAUGAUACUCUCUCUUUAGGAAAUGUCAAUAUCAAUAUCAAUAUCAAAUAUGGUAGGAUUAGCAUUGAGAUUAGCAUUGAAAGGCAUUUAAAAUUAGUUCUUCAAAUUGAUGUGAGGCCGGGAAGGUAUUCUUUGUAAAACAGAACGUCUGAAAGAAUAAAGUAAAAGAUGCAUGAAUAAGCUUUUAGACCAAAUGAGAUUGUCUCAAUUGAUCCAUUUGCAGGUACUUAAUAAGAGGGCAGCAACUUGGCAGAGUAAACUUGGGUUAACCAUUUUAGGUUAAGUGGUUUGGAUUUAAAAUUAUUUGGAUAAAUUCAACAUCAAUGUUAUAAUUGGUAUUGGAGCCUCCAAUACCAUUAUAUUUCUUAUCCGUUCUUAACCUAUAGAUAUAAAUGCAACUUGAGAAAUUAACAGAAUUUCCCCUAAAAUUAUUACCAAUUGAGCAAGAAAACCUGCUAGAAAUAAGAAUAUAAAUAACAUCUAACAUAAGGUGCUCAAGGGAAUGGUGGAUGCGAAAAAUGCCAGUAAAUUCAGCUUCAGAGUUUUUAACGUUGAGAAGAUGAAGCCAGCAUUUAAUUAGAGAUAUGAU
rnacentral:misc_RNA from 1 species